CCUCCGGGGGGCAGCAGUGAGGAAUAUUGGUCAAUGGCCGCAGGGCUGAACCAGCCAAGUCGCGUGAGGGAUGACGGUCCUAUGGAUUGUAAACCUCUUUUGUCAGGGAGCAAAGGGCGCCACGUGUGGCGUUUUGCGAGUACCUGAAGAAAAAGCAUCGGCUAACUCCGUGCCAGCAGCCGCGGUAAUACGGAGGAUGCGAGCGUUAUCCGGAUUUAUUGGGGUUAAAGGGUGCGCAGGCGGAAUGUCAAGUCAGCGGUAAAAUUUCGGGGCUCAACCCCGUCGGGCCGUUGAAACUGGUGUUCUGGAGGGAGCGAAAAGUAUGCGGAAUGGGUGGGGUAGGGGUGAA
rnacentral:rRNA from 1 species